GGCCGGUGAUGAUCAUAUCUCUUAUUUCUUUCUGACACCUCGUCUGAGGGCGGCGGGCGGCCGCGGCCCUUGCUGAGGAUGCACGGCUGAGGCCC